CAGAAGGCUCAUACCAGCAGUAGUAUGAGAAUGGGACUUGGCCUCUGGCAAAGAGGCUCUUGACUAUUCCUGUUUCUCACUGAUGUAUUAACCACUAUCAUAUCUGGAUUUAUAUUUUACAGGCCUAUUUGGAAAAGGUAUACAAAUACGCUAAACUCUGGCCAAUCAAGUAAGAUACUAUAUCCAACUUCCUAAAGGCCUGGAGAGACUUGUCUCACCUACCACUGAAUCAGUCCGGUAGAGGUAAUUUUUCAACUUCUCCUUGAAGAUUGUUAAGAGAUUUUUGUUUCUCAUGAGAUUUUUGUUCCAUGAAAUUCUCUAUGGAAUGACAAUGCAGAGGCAAUUUAAAUCUCAAUAUAAGAGGCAAGAAUGAUGAUUUGGUGGGCAGCCUAUCUGGACCAGAUCUUGAAUGUGUGUAAGCCCAUGGAGGUCCAUGGUGGAACAGAGAUCCACCAGCAGCCUGUGGAACACACCCUGGAGCAGGUGAAUAUGCCCAAAGGAGGCUGUCCCAUGAGGGACCCACAUUGGAGCAGGUAAUAUGUGAGCUUCUGACAAUAGCCCUCAUUUCUCAUCUACCUGCACUGCUGCGGGAGAGUAAGUGGAGAAUUGGGAAAAAAAUUAUGCCUUGGAGUAAAAGAGAGGCAGGGGGAAGGUGGUUUUAUUUCUCAUUAUCCUUCUCUGAUUUGUUUGGUAAUAAAUUUCUGUAAUUUACCCAAGUUGAGUACGUUUUGUUUGUGAUGGCAAAUGAUCUCUCCCUGGCCCUUAUCUCAAGCCAUGAGUCUUUUAUCAGUUUUUUUCUCUCCUGUGCAACUGAGGAGGAAAGGGGUAGAGUGACUUAGGUGGGCACCCAGCCAGAGUCAGCCCAUCCUGUUUGCUUGUGACCACAUAAUACGGUACAAAGCCGUGGAAUUGGACCUAGACCACCUGAGCUAUCUUGUGCCUAUUGCUUUAAUUAUAUAACAUAUAGAGCAAUAUGCUCUGAUAAAGUUUGCAUCUAAAGUUAUGACUGUCUCAUACUGAAAAACCAUGGAUUUUGAUUAUCAUUCAAAUUAUUCAAGGUCAAGAGUAGUUUUAAAGUAUUACACCUCUCAGAUUUAAAUAUUUGCAAGAAAAUAAAAUCAAAGAAAAAAAAUCUAAUCCUUAUGUGAGAAG